UACGUAGGUGGCUAGCGUUAUCCGGAAUUACUGGGCGUAAAGGGUGCGUAGGUGGUUUCUUAAGUCAGAGGUGAAAGGCUACGGCUCAACCGUAGUAAGCCUUUGAAACUGGGGAACUUGAGUGCAGGAGAGGAGAGUGGAAUUCCUAGUGUAGCGGUGAAAUGCGUAGAUAUUAGGAGGAACACCAGUUGCGAAGGCAGCGUACCGGCAUCCAACUGACGCUGAGGCACGAAAGCGUGGGGAUCAAACAGG
rnacentral:rRNA from 1 species